rnacentral:lncRNA from 1 species
CUCAGCCAUUGAGUAAUACCAGUGCAUAUAUAUAUAUAUAUAUAUUGUUUUGCUCAGUGAGCAUUCAAGUAAGUCGCAAGUAAACACUACUUGUGCGAUACUAUUCUAGCUGUUGUGAAAACCUUACAAAUAAGGAUGAGUAACAAGAGCUCCCCUGGGUCAGGGAGUCUGGACUUCCAAGGUGUUGUUGCAGGACUUGUCAGAAUAUCCACGAAAGAUCUAGAGCGCCUUAACAAGUAUACUGUCGCAGAGUGUGAGGGAGAAAUGCACAGGCUGAUGUCGGUCGUGAGUCAACCCACGGGAGAAACCCGCCUGACUCAAGAGGUAGUGGGCCAGCUGGCAUUGCUGUGCCAUCAGAAAGCCCAAAUGGAGUCCGCAGAAUCUGCUGAGAAGAUCGCGGCCCUACACAGUAGCUACUUAGCUGAGCAAAAGACCGUCACCCAUCUAGAGCAUAGCUUAGAGGUAAUGAAAAGGGAACUGGAACAACUCGAGGAGAGCUAUAAGAGGUUGCAGCGAGACCAUGACAUACCACCUAGGUCCCGAACAGUUCACCAGGAGGAGGUAGGAGAUAGGAAUGAAAAUCAGUGCAGACAAGUAGGUAUGGCAGCUCAGUCAAGUGACCAAGAGCUGGACAAACCUGGUCCUGGGAGUGAGACUUUCCGCGGCCUAGAGGCCCCAAAGUCAGCCCCCGCAAACCGGACCGAUCUAGCACAAAGAGAGCCACGUGGGUCCUUUGGAGAAGCGACCCCAGCUCACGCCCAAAAGGGCACUCAUUCAAACUCUUUCCUCACUACUGACACCCCAGUCUACUACGCGUCGACCAUAGCCCAUGGUAGCGUAGUCAGGGGAACAGGAAGACUGAACAGGGACAGGUAUGCACCCGUGGAUACGCCAAUCCACAGAAAUGCACUCCCGAGUUACCCCCAUCCAGAGCCACACCUCGAAGACCAGAGAUGGCAAGGUCCUAGUAGAGAAACCUACUUUAAGCCUGAGCCCACUAAUGGUAGAUAUGAGCCACUGCCACCCAGUGGGGGAUACCCUCCUCGCAACGGCCCCCCCCAAGCUCUCACCCAGUCCCUUACUACGGGGGCGACUCAAGCUCAGAGGACUCUGACAUUGUGAACCCUGUCCCAAGGCAGGAGAUACGCACAUGCCAACUCGAAUCUAUGGCUAAGGACAUUGAGCGCUUUGAUCCCAGUGACAGGGAGUCCACCAUAGAUGACUAUCUGCGGGAAGUUGAGCGGUGCCUCCUGGACUGCUGAAGCUGAUCUGGAAGACCACGGCUAGAAGUGUGCAUAGUUUUAUAGAAACCCUUCCCUGCAGCACACGUGACAGUUACCCAAGGCUCUGUGAUGCCCUUAGGGAAGAG